CAAAACCAUUGAAUUUGAAAAAUGUCCAACUUCAAGUGCCUAUAACUUUCUCAUUAAAAAUCCAAAUGAUGAAACAUUUAAGUCUAAAUUGAUCAUAUUGAAAAGAUCUACAACUUUCAGGUUGGAGGUUUUUCCUUUUGAGGCUUGCAUCAUUGAAACAGAAGGGCUUGAAUUUGAUCACUUUUGGUAAAAAAAAUGUAAAGAAAACCUAGACAUGUUUUGUACCUCAAACUUCAAGACCAGUUUUCACAAAUUUCCAAACUCCAAAUGAAUUUUUU
rnacentral:lncRNA from 1 species